CGGACGGGUGAGUAACGCGUGAGAAUUUGCUUCAGGUCGGGGACAACAGUUGGAAACGACUGGUAAUACCGGAUGUGCCGGAAGGUGAAAGAUUUAUCGCCUGAAGAUAAGCUCGCGUCUGAUUAGCUAGUUGGUGGUGUAAGGGACUACCAAGGCGACGAUCAGUAGCUGGUCUGAGAGGAUGAUCAUCCACACCGGGACUGAGACACGGCCCAGACUCCUACGGGAGGCAGCAGCGGGGAAUUUUCCGCAAUGGGCGAAAGCCUGACGGAGCAAUACCGCGUGAGGGAGGAAGGCUCCUGGGUCGUAAACCUCUUUUCUCAAGGAAGAAUGCAAUGACGGUACUUGAGGAAUAAGCAUCGGCUAACUCCGUGCCAGCAGCCGCGGUAAUACGGAGGAUGCAAGCGUUAUCCGGAAUGAUUGGGCGUAAAGGGUCUGUAGGUGGUACUGAAAGUCUGCUGUUAAAGAGCAAGGCUCAACCUUGUAAGAGCAGUGGAAACUACCGAUCUUGAGUGCGGUAGGGGCAAAAGGAAUUCCUGGUGUAGCGGUGAAAUGCGUAGAUAUCAGGAAGAACACCGGUGGCGAAAGCGUUUCGCUGACCGCAACUGACACUGAG
rnacentral:rRNA from 1 species